UACGUAGGGUGCAAGCGUUGUCCGGAAUUAUUGGGCGUAAAGAGCUCGUAGGCGGCUUGUCGCGUCGGCUGUGAAAACCCGCGGCUCAACUGUGGGCGGGCAGCUGAUACGGGCAGGCUGGAGUUCGGUAGGGGAGACUGGAAUUCCUGGUGUAGCGGUGAAAUGCGUAGAUAUCGUAAGGAAGACCAGUGGCGAAGGCGGGUCUCUGGACAGUUCCUGACGCUGAGGCACGAAGGUCAGGGGAGCAAACGGG
rnacentral:rRNA from 1 species